AUGGCCGGUGCAAAAGGAGUGCAGCAGCGCACCAUCUCGGGUGGUUCCCAGUCGCGGCCAUCACAUGACGGCUCCCAGUCGCCAGCUCGGGAGGAGCGGCAAGGGCGCAGCCAGUCCAGGCGCAGCCAUCGCGGUGAGGUCGUAGUUAGGGAGAUCGUGCGCGAGACCGCAAUUAGCGGUAGCGUGCCCAUCACCUUCCCGAUGCUCACGCGCUCGAACUACAGUGAGUGGUCGUUGAUCAUGGAGUGCAACCUUCAUGCGGCGAGCCUCUGGGCUCCCAUGGAGGACGACCUGGUCGAGAGAAAGGAGGACAGGAAAGCCGUGGCGGCCCUCAUGCGCACCAUGCCGCCGGAGAUGCACGGCAUGCUCGCGGCGAAGGCAAGCGCCAAGGAGGCGUGGGAAGCCAUCCGUACCCAGCGCUUCGGCAGCAACCGCGUGCGUGAGGCGAACGCGCAGAAGCUGCGGGCGGGCUUUGAGAACAUCGCCUUCAAGGAGGGCGAGCUCGUCGACGACUUCGCCAUGCGGAUCUCCAGCGUUGUGUCACAACUCCGAGCGCUCGACGACACCAUGGACGAUGCGAGAGUCGUGCGGAAAUUUCUCCGCGUCGUGCCACCUCGCUUUGCUCAGGUAGCGGUCUCCAUCGAGACCUUGCUUGACCUGAGUGAGCUCUCCAUCGAGGAGCUCACAGGCCGGUUGCGGGUGGUGGAGGACGGCCGCGAGAGCUUCAGCGGCGGACAACUCCUAUUCUCGAAGAAGUGGGAGGCGAGGAAGCGUCAAGGACGUGGUGGAGGUGCCUCGAGCAGCGGAGGCGGCACCGGCAGAGGCGGCGGUCGCACACAGGGCGGAGCCGGACGAGGUGCCGGAAACGACGACCGAGACAAGUGUCGAUAUUGCAGCAUCAAGGGCCACUGGGCCCAUGAGUGCCGAAAGAGGAUGGCUAACGAGGAUGCCGCGGCGGCAGCGAACCUCGUCCAGGCUGAAGAGGACGGUGGGCCAGCAAUGAUGAUGGCUUGCGUUGAGACCAUGCAGGAGGGCCCAGCACCUCCGGCGACCAUGGUCCCGACAAGCAUCGAAGCCGUGUAG
rnacentral:rRNA from 1 species